CCUACGGGUGGCAGCAGUGAGGAAUAUUGGUCAAUGGACGCAAGUCUGAACCAGCCAUGCCGCGUGCAGGAAGACGGCUCUAUGAGUUGUAAACUGCUUUUGUACGAGGGUAAACGCAGAUACGUGUAUCUGUCUGCAAGUAUCGUACGAAUAAGGCUCGGCUAACUCCGUGCCAGCAGCCGCGGUAAUACGGAGGAUUCAAGCGUUAUCCGGAUUUAUUGGGUUUAAAGGGUGCGUCGGCGGUCGGAUAAGUUAGAGGUGAAAUCCCGAGGCUCAACUUCGGAAUUGCCUCUGAUACUGUUCGGCUAGAGAGUAGUUGCGGUAGGCGGAAUGUAUGGUGUAGCGGUGAAAUGCUUAGAGAUCAUACAGAACACCGAUUGCGAAGGCAGCUUACCAAGCUACUUCUGACGUUGAGGCACGAAAGCGUGGGGAGCAAACAGGAUUAGAUACCCUAGUAGUC
rnacentral:rRNA from 1 species